GUCUCACUCUAUAUGCAACUCUCCUCUCUCAUUUCCACUCUCGAGAGUCACUCUCUUCUCUUACGCUUCAUUCGUUUCCAGUGUCAAGAUUCUCUUUUCGAAGAGUCUUUCUUCCAUAGCACUUGCACACACUAAUGCCUCAUCUUUGAAACGGUGGACAUGAAUUUUACCGUACCUCGCUGGUGACCUUCUUUGAAAGGGUUUUUCUUUUUGUGCGGUGCAAAGACCGGUGGAUAUGGAUAUUACAGUUUCUCAAUCUGGUGACGUUGUGUAGAUGGAAGGGUUUUUCUCUUUGUUCCUCACUCCGGUGACCAUGUGCCGAUGGAAGGUAAAAAUUAAAAUCAUGUAAUGGUGAUGUUAUUGCUUCCAAUCCACCUUGAAGCAACUCUUUGAGGAAUUUGAAAGUGGUGAUGAUUCUUCAUUGCUAGGAUCUGUAACAGUGCACAUAAUGGAAGCUUGAAAACAAAUUUAGAAGGAAGAUCAAAGCAGUAUAAAGACCUUGCAUUGACAUAUCUUUUUCUCAUGAACAAUGUUCAUUAUAUUGUCAGAUUAGUUUGGAGGUCUGAAGACAAUGAUUUGCUAAGAUUCUUCCGUUGCUUAUCUAUUCAGGGCCUUAGCUCAUCAGGUGGUGGGAGUGGUACUGGUGGCAGUGAUGGUGGAACUGGAAGCAGUAGUGGUGCUUCAUUAAGGACAGAUUGGAACUCUUCUUAAAGGCAAAGCUUGCUCUGGAAUAAAAGAAGCUGCAACUAGUUUGACAAAACAUCUUGCACAAAGAACCCAGGAGACCUUUGAAGAAUUUGAAGUGGCAAUCCAGAAAGAUGCUAGAAAGACUGCAGUUAUAGAUGGAACUGUCCAUCCUUUGACACGCUCUGUGAUUAACUAUCUAUCAAUCCACCUUGAAGCAACUUUUUCUGGAUUUUGAAAGUGGUGAUGAUUCUUCACAGCUAGCAUAUGUAACUGCGAAUAAUGCAAGCUUUGCAAACCAAUUUAGAUGGAAAAUCAGAGCAGUAUAAAGACCCUGCAUUAACACAUUGUUUUCUCAUGAACAAUAUUCAUUAUAUUGUAAGAUGGGUUUGGAGGUCUGAGGCCAAGGAUUUGCUAGGGGAUGACUGAAGCCAAGGUCUGGAGCCAAUGACAUAGGAGGAUUGUUCAGCAGCAUGCAAAUCUAUAAAAAAGAAAUGCUUGGGCAAAGGUCUUAUUCUAGUGACCUUGCUGACCAUUACUUGUCUUGCAGCUUUCUUAGAUGUCACUUGGAUAAUGUGAAGCAGUAUGAUACUUGUGAAAUAGUCGCGGUGAAGAUGGCAAGACUUCGUGAAGAUGGCAAGACUUCGUGUAUUGCAAUUUGUUAAGGAUUUUCCUAAUUUCUUUUGGUUCAGUGCUAGUUUUCAAACAGUCUUUGAUCGAGUCUGAUUCACGAUGCAUAAGCGAAUUUAUUUUUACACGUAUUAUGCAUGAAUAACUGUUAUUUUGAUUGACUUCAACUACUUAUUAAGUUUUUAAACUACAAAAAUUAAACUGUGCUAUUUUUUGAUGCUUACUCAUUGUCUCACAUGUUGCGGGAGAGAAGUAUGCAUUUUGCAAUUCUUGCAAUUUUUUUGUUUGUUUGUUGUUAUAUGUAGGUGGAGGGUCUCAGGAGAUCGGUGAAUUUUAAGAUUUUGGGAUAGUUUCACUUUUGCACUAAUUUUAAGAUAGUUUUAUUUGCCUUACUUUUUGCACUUGAAUUUGAUUUCAGCUUUGGAAUUUCAAUCAUGGACACAUUUUUGAGGCAUGUAAAGACAAUCUCAAGAAGUUUCAGCUAAGUUAUCUAGAUUCACUUUCUUAUUGUCAAAAAGGCAUAUUGGUAUGUUUGUUUCUUAUGUGUCCCUUAAAUACAAUUUUUUGUGCAUGUAUAGGAACAAUUAUAAUUAGCAUUAUUAAAGGAGUGAUCUGAUUGGGCAGAGUAUUUUUACCUUACACAGAGAAUUAAUAUACACGAGAUCAAAUAUAUACAUGAAUUAUGAGUACAUUUAUACUUAUUAAAAAUCUUAUCUAAUUAUUAAGUAUCUUAUAUAAUUGCAUGAUUAUAUUACCUUAUUGUAUACACUUGUGUACAGCUUGUGAUACUAAGCAGGCCUCCAAUAUACUUAUAUGAAGCGCCUUUCGGCUGCUUCUUUUCUCUUCGAAGUUGAAAUGGCCGCGCAAAGAAACGACAGCAAAACAACACAAACAAGCCGAAGAAGAUGCACAAGUAAAGUAGAACCUUUCAUACAUUGAUUGAUUUUGCUUCUCUGAUUCUCAUUUUCCUCUUUGUUAUUUGAACUUUGUUUCGCCACACACAAUACCUCUUCCAUCUCUUGCUUUUCUUUUCUUUACCUUGUAAUUGCUUUUCCUUCUCUGAUUUUGAAUUGAACUCUAUUCUUGUUUCUAUUUUUUGUGAUUCUUGUUUUUAUGUUUUUUUCUCUUCUCUUUGGAGUGCGAUGAGAUUGAAUCCUGGCUGUCCUUAUUGCUGUUUUUGAUUCCUCUGUCUGGGUCUUGGUUCUUUCUUGAACUUGCAUUUUGUUGUUUUCAAGAUUGCUGAUUUUUUAUUUAUUUGAUUUUGAUUGCAUGCAAGAACAAGAAUGAUGACAAAGGAUACAAGUAUGCAAAUUUCAAUGGUCAUGAUUUUGAUUUAAUGCAAGAACAAGAAUGAAGACAGAGAAAACUAAUCCGCUGUAUGCAAAUAUCAAUGAUCCCGUUGUAUUUCAGGUGUUGGGACUUGGGGGUGUUGGGCUAGGCUGGUGUGUGAUCGUUUUCUGUCCGUGGUUAUAGCAGUAACAAACUGAGCAGAUAUUCUUUACCCCGCCCUUAUGCCUCUUUCAAGACUUCCUAAGGUUAUAACAGCAACAAGUUGUGCAGAUAUUCUCAACCCUGCCCUUAUGCAUUCUGGGCCAUUGGGUCGUAAAUUAAGUUUCUGCACCCAAUUGACGAAGGGCUCAGAUUCUACAGAUCUAUUAAAGGACGGGUGAAUGUUCACCCUGAUGUCAACAUUGAAGAACUUGCUCCUUCUACAGGUGAUUUCAAUGGAGCACACCUGCAGGCUGUCUGUCUGUGUUGAGCCUGGCAUUUUGGCUUU